UGAUGUCUAGCUCAACUGGCAGAGCUGCGGAUUGUUACUCCGCGAGAUCCUGGUUCGAAUCCAGGGAUAUCAG
rnacentral:tRNA from 1 species